rnacentral:rRNA from 1 species
CAAUAGCGUAUAUUUAAGUUGUUGCAGUUAAAAAGCUCGUAGUUGGAUUUCGGAUGGGAUUUGCCGGUCCGUCGUUACGAUGUGCACUGGCCAGUCCUAUCUUGUUGUCGGGGACUAGCUCCUUGGAUUCACUUCCUGGGACUAGGAGCUGACGAGGUUACUUUGAGUAAAUUAGAGUGUUCAAAGCAGGCUUUCGCUUGAAUACAUUAGCAUGGAAUAAUAAGAUAGGACUUUGGUGCUAUUUUGUUGGUUGAGCCUAAAGUAAUGAUUAAUAGGGAUAGUUGGGGGCACCUGUAUUGCGUUGUCAGAGGUGAAAUUCUUGGAUUUACGCAAGACAAACAGCUGCGAAAGCGUCUGCCAAGGAUGUUUUCAUUAA